rnacentral:rRNA from 1 species
ACCCGCUGAACUUAAGCAUAUCAAUAAGCGGAGGAAAAGAAACCAACAGGGAUUGCCCUAGUAACGGCGAGUGAAGCGGCAACAGCUCAAAUUUGAAAUCUGGCGUCUUUGGCGUCCGAGUUGUAAUUUGCAGAGGGCGCUUUGGCAUUGGCAGCGGUCCAAGCUCCUUGGAACAGGACGUCACAAAGGGUGAGAAUCCCGUACGUGGUCGCUAGCCUUUACCGUGUAAAGCCCCUUCGACGAGUCGAGUUGUUUGGGAAUGCAGCUCUAAAUGGGAGGUAAAUUUCUUCUAAAGCUAAAUACUGGCCAGAGACCGAUAGCGCACAAGUAGAGUGAUCGAAAGAUGAAAAGCACUUUGGAAAGAGAGUUAAAAAGCACGUGAAAUUGUUGAAAGGGAAGCGCUUGCAGCCAGACUUGCCUGUAGUUGCUCAUCCGGGUUUUUACCCGGUGCACUCUUCUAUAGGCAGGCCAGCAUCAGUUUGGGCGGUUGGAUAAAGGUCUCUGUCAUGUACCUCUCUUCGGGGAGAACUUAUAGGGGAGACGACAUGCAACCAGCCCGGACUGAGGUCCGCGCAUCUGCUAGGAUGCUGGCGUAAUGGCUGU